UACGGGGGGGGCAAGCGUUGUUCGGAAUUACUGGGCGUAAAGGGCGCGUAGGCGGUUCGCUAAGUUGAAUGUGAAAACUCUGGGCUUAACCCAGAGCCUGCAUUCAAUACUGGCGGGCUAGAGUUCUGGAGGGGAUAGCGGAAUUCCUGGUGUAGCGGUGAAAUGCGUAGAUAUCAGGAGGAACACCGGUGGUGUAAACGGCUUUCUGGACCAUAACUGACGCUGAGGCACGAAAGCGUGGGUAGCAAACAGG
rnacentral:rRNA from 1 species